UACGGGGGGGGCAAGCGUUGUUCGGAAUUACUGGGCGUAAAGGGCGCGUAGGCGGCCUUCUAAGUCGGACGUGAAAUCCCCGGGCUCAACCCGGGAACUGCGUCCGAUACUGGAAGGCUUGAAUCCGGGAGAGGGAUGCGGAAUUCCAGGUGUAGCGGUGAAAUGCGUAGAUAUCUGGAGGAACACCGGUGGCGAAGGCGGCAUCCUGGACCGGUAUUGACGCUGAGGCGCGAAAGCCAGGGGAGCAAACGGG
rnacentral:rRNA from 1 species